CCUACGGGAGGCAGCAGUGGGGAAUAUUGGACAAUGGGGGCAACCCUGAUCCAGCAAUGCCGCGUGUGUGAAGAAGGUCUUCGGAUUGUAAAGCACUUUCGACGGGGACGAUGAUGACGGUACCCGUAGAAGAAGCCCCGGCUAACUUCGUGCCAGCAGCCGCGGUAAUAAU
rnacentral:rRNA from 1 species